AAGGGAGACUUUAAAAAUCGCGGCGAGAAAUGCACCAAGACCAGCCAGUGUAGUGACGGCGACAGGCGUAGGGAUCGCUGACUCUGACGGUGGCAGUGAAGGUGCCAGCCCAGGG